AAUCAAAUCCACAGACACAUAUGUCUACAAAGUACAUACAUAACAAAAGACGCAAUCACACACUCAAACCCAACUUACAGACACACUCAGAGCUUUCUCUUUUCUUCACCGCCGGCAAACCUAAAACCGACCCCAACCUUAAAUCGGAAAAAACCUAGCCGGAAAAAGAACAUCAAACAAACAUAUACCUCACGGCGCGGUUUGUCGCAAGUGGAUUUCCACCUCUGGCAGACAAGGGCAGCAGUUGGUGGUCGACACAAGCGACAGCUGCGGUGGCGUUGGCUAGUAUGGAAAACAGACCGGUUCACGGUGCCGAGCGGUGGUAUGCGAUUUAGAAUGUUUUUGAGCUUCAUCGAGGAACUAAGUCGAGACAAAGCCUAUUUUGUCAACAUUAAACAUCUUUGGCCCCUCAAAUUUGGCGACAGUCAGUUUAUUUGGUUAGUGUGUGUCUCACUUGUUCAUCAGGUCGAUGGCCAUAUUCGGCUUACUGAAGGAAACAAUACAGGCCCGAUCAACUUGGAAAUCCAGGUCAACAUUAUGAUGAAUUCACCAUGCUUGAAGUUGCAGAGAAUGUGAAAGAGGUCAGUUCUGGAAGUUCUUUAACAAUUUUAUUGUUAUGUCCAAAAUGCCCUUGAAUUUGUAUGUCCAAAAUGCCCUUGAAUUUGGCGUUUAAUAUGAGUAUGAAGACCACAUAUGGUAGCUGAUAAACCCGAAAGUGAAAAUAACACAUGUGGAAAACACGCAUGAUGAUCCUCGACAAAGAAAGCCAUUGAUAACGAAGCCAAAGGAGGUGCUUGAUUCGGAACCAACAAUCAAAUUACGCUAUGGACUCCCCCCUAUGGACGAGGACUUCCGCAAGAGGCUUGGACUACCAAGGACUGCAUGAGUGUGAGCGUGUGCGUGUCCUCAAACCGCAAGAAUUUCGGAAGUAAUCGUGCUGCAAAUGAAGCUUCUGCUGGAACUGCACUCUUUCACCCGCUCUGAUUUUCAAUGAUGCCAGAUACAUUGAAAAGAAAAGGUUUGGACAGUAACUUAUAGAUGAGAUUUUCAUUUGAUAUAUGCAAUUGAAACUUUUGGGCUUAAUUUGUAACUUUUGUAUAAUUUCAGGGACUAAUGUUGAAAUUUACUGUUUUAUGGAACAUGUUAGAUGUAGUUAUGUACUAAUUUGAGAGGUUUUAAUCAUGUGUGAAUGCUUCACUUGUCUUGUCCUGUUGUAUAUAUGUAACGUACAUAAUUUGCAUUUGAUGAUCAUUAGCUCAACUUCUAUAAUAAUCACUUUAAAAC